UACGAAGGGGGCUAGCGUUGCUCGGAAUCACUGGGCGUAAAGCGCACGUAGGCGGAUCUUUAAGUCAGAGGUGAAAUCCCAAGGCUCAACCUUGGAACUGCCUUUGAUACUGGGGAUCUCGAGUCCGGAAGAGGUGAGUGGAACUCCUAGUGUAGAGGUGGAAUUCGUAGAUAUUAGGAAGAACACCAGUGGCGAAGGCGGCUCACUGGUCCGGUACUGACGCUGAGGUGCGAAAGCGUGGGGAGCAAACAGG
rnacentral:rRNA from 1 species